AUUUAGAUAGUUUAAUAAAAAUUUUGAUUUGUGGGGUCAAAAAUGUAAAAAUGAUUUUACUCUAAAUU
rnacentral:tRNA from 1 species